GUGCUCGAGUCUGGGUCUAUACCAUCAGUAUUCGGGGCAUUCAGGGGAGCCAAAAUUGUCAUGUCUUUAACCACAACAUUGCUGCAGUAAACAGGGUGUAUGGUCCAAAAUGGAGAAUUUCGGAAAGUGAGAUUGGAGAUGAGGAUAUUAUGAGAGUUCAUUAGUUCUACAAGGUGUCCUCUUGUGUGCUUCAAUGUUCUGUUCCACCAUAACUCCCACCACAUCUUCCCCUGACCAUCAAUUGUCCCAUUAUGCCCUGUAAUGACAACAUUGGUAAG
rnacentral:misc_RNA from 1 species